CUUACGUCAUGGGAUGCGCGUUCCCGAGAAGUAGGCUGUCCCAAUUCUUAGAUACCUUAAAAUGCUGUCUACUAAGAUACCUUAUUCUGACCCUGUAAUAAGAGAGCAUUAGACCCUUCCUCAGCCGGUAAGGCAAUCCCAUGAUGCAGCGCGGGCAGCACAGCGUAGCUCAACUUCUUCCAUCAUGGCGGACGGAAGUGGAUCGGCCAGCGGCGAAGUCAUUUUCAAAUGACUAUUGUUCUGGAAUUGGGGCUUGCGGACAAAGUAAAAGAAAUGGGAAAACUUAAAAAAUAAAUACAAUGCUGAACAACAUCUCCCGCUCCCAUGCAGAUGUUGUGCAGAGUGACACAGGCAGCAAUCACCUCUGGCACAUACCUUGGGUUCACUUCUU